AAUCAACGCUGGCGGCGUGCCUCAGACAUGCAAGUCGAACGCGAAACCCUCCUUCGGGAGGGGAGUAGAGUGGCGCACGGGUGAGUAACACGUAGGUAAUUUGCCUUCGGGUGGGGAAUAACAGCCGGAAACGGCUGCUAAUACCGCAUAAUGCAGCGGCUCGACAUCGAGACAGUUGUUAAAGCGGGGGAUCGCAAGACCUCGCGCCUGAAGAGAAGCCUGCGGCAGAUUAGCUAGUUGGUAGGGUAAUGGCCUACCAAGGCGACGAUCUGUAACCGGCCUGAGAGGGCGGUCGGUCACACUGACACUGACAUACGGGUCAGACUCCUACGGGAGGCAGCAGUCGGGAAUUUUGGGCAAUGGGCGAAAGCCUGACCCAGCAACGCCGCGUGAAGGAUGAAAUCCCUCGGGAUGUAAACUUCGCAAGAAUGGGAAGAAUAAGUGGGGGAUAAUACCCCCCAUGAUGACGGUACCAUUUGUAAGCUCCGGCUAACUCCGUGCCAGCCGCCGCCGUAACAC
rnacentral:rRNA from 1 species